GAUGAACGCUGGCGGCGUGCCUAAUACAUGCAAGUCGAGCGAACAGACGAGGAGCUUGCUCCUCUGACGUUAGCGGCGGACGGGUGAGUAACACGUGGAUAUCCUACCUAUAAGACUGGGAUAACUUCGGGAAACCGGAGCUAAUACCGGAUAAUAUAUUGAACCGCAUGGUUCAAUAGUGAAAGACGGUUUUGCUGUCACUUAUAGAUGGAUCCGCGCCGCAUUAGCUAGUUGGUAAGGUAACGGCUUACCAAGGCAACGAUGCGUAGCCGACCUGAGAGGGUGAUCGCCCACACUGGAACUGAGACACGGUCCAGACUCCUACGGGAGGCAGCAGUAGGGAAUCUUCCGCAAUGGGCGAAAGCCUGACGGAGCAACGCCGCGUGAGUGAUGAAGGUCUUCGGAUCGUAAAACUCUGUUAUUAGGGAAGAACAAAUGUGUAAGUAACUAUGCACGUCUUGACGGUACCUAAUCAGAAAGCCACGGCUAACUACGUG
rnacentral:rRNA from 1 species